GGGUUCCUACCAGCAGCUGGCAGCAAACAGCGCUCGCUCGGUAAGCACACGUCUGCUUUCUCCCCCGGAGCCGUGAGUGCGACUGCCAUGAGAGCGGAGGUCUGAUGCCAUCUGCGAGGGAUGGGAUUUGCAUCCGGUGGCUUUUCCGUUGCAGAAUGUCAGGGGAGCAGAGCGUGAGUGGCUGUGAAAUGCAAUUGGGAAAUGCUUCAUGGGAACAGUCUGGAGCUGUGUCUGGAGCUUCCUGCGUGGCCAUUGUAAGGUAGGUGUGCCUUACUGUAAGCGUGCACUGAAGCAGUGUUGGUUAAGCACGGCUCACUCCUCUGUCUGCAACAGAUGGGCUUUCUGCGCGCUUUAUUGCUGUGGCCGGCGUUGAACAGCACAGCAGCAGCGAGGCCUCGAACAUGUCCACAACCAGGACUCGGAGAGUUUGGGGACUGAGACUUGGGAGAGAGUGAAGAAAGCUGAGGCAAGGCAAGCGCUGCUCAGCUGAGGAAGAAAGCCGAGAAGGAAAGCAGAAAGCAACGAUGAUGGCCUGAGCAAGAAGCUACAAAGGACAGCAGAAUCGCCUGGAUUGCGUCCUCAGAGGUGCACCAAAGGACACACACUGCGUGCUCCGGUUUUCAGGCCUGGCCGUGCUUUCCCUUUCCUGGACUGCGGAGAGGAACUGAGCAAGUUUUAGUCAUUACCAGUAUCCCGCCUAUUUGAUUUCAUAUUGAAAUGUAUUUUGGAUGCAUUUAGCAUCUCUUUGUUGCAAAUAAAAGCGAAAGAAACAUUUGAA